rnacentral:lncRNA from 8 species
UUGUUUGCCGACAGCCAUAAUAUCAAAGAAGAAGACCCCGUACUGUAGGUGGCGGCAAUAUGGAAUGUUUUUUUUGUUUUUCUUAUUCAAUACCCCGUGCAGCUGGUGGCGGUAAUGCACCAUUAACAUUGGAUGCCAACCGCCGUUAAACCCCAUCGAAGAAGAAGAAGAAGAAGAAGAAGAAGAAGUGGCGGCGGCGGCGGCAAUACACCAGUAGGUGUAGUCUGCCAUAAAACUUUGAAGAAGAAGAAGCGCACGAGCACUUCUCAGGGUGUUUAAUUAUUUUCUUUUAAUGUUUUAUCAAGACAAGCAAGUUGAAAAUGACCUUUGCCUUUCCUCUAUGAAGGAAUGUUUUUAUAGAUGAAGACCUAGACUAAAACGUUGAAUAGCUACCUGAAUGGAAAUUGAAUAGUUGAAUGAAUGAGACUGGCGUCUUGAAAAGAUAGAACAUGUACCUGUUGCGCUUCUCUAUUGCCAUCAUUCUUGGGUUUGUGUGGUAUUUAUUUGACCGCGGACAAGUAGCGGCUCAAAUUGUUUUAUGUUUACUAUUUUGGCAAUCAACCCCAAAUGUUUUAAUAAAGACCAGACGGGAAAGCGGCACUCAAACAGACGAUGUGGCUGAAGAAGAUUUAUUCCAGGAAACCACCGACCAUUUAGGUUGUGAUGUGACUGAUACAACAAGCACUAAAGCUGAAACAUCACAGGAGAGACAGUUUCCCCAUGUGAAGAGGUCUCUUCAGCAAGUGUUUGAGUGUGCCUACGCCCAGCUAGUCCUCCCCUGGUACAGCAUCCCUGAGCCCUGUGACAGUCAGCUCCUGCACCAGGUGCUGUGGAGGGAGUUUGACCAAGUCAUCGAUCAAGUCAUCAGCAAAGGCAAAGACUUUGACGUCUGUGCUGCAAGUGUGGGCUGCAUUCGCAUCCUGACCCAGCACCUCCAUAAUGCCAAACAGUCUCAUAGAAAACCAUUGUUCCGCUCUAGAGGAGAGGAGGUUGAAGUUCUCCGAGUGUUCUCUGAAGCACUGGUGCGAAACCUUUUACCCCAGUCCCUAUGGGGACUGGCAGUCAGCCACUGUGCCUUAAAUGAGAUAGUUGCCUUAAAAGCACUGGACCUGCUGGUGCGGUGGCUCUCAGACCCUGACAACCUCAACCAGCUGGUGGUGAGUCAGCUGGAUGGAGCGACCCGUAAGAGCUCUGUGGAGGAGCUGUGUGAGUCCCACUCUGACAGGGCCUCUCCCGUCUCCCUGGAGAGCCAGGCCAGUGGAGCGACGCAGGAAGAAACAGAGGGUGCUCAAACCAGUGACAGCAAGUCCAAAAAGAAAGCCAACAAAUUGAAGGAAGGCUGGUCUAAAUUCCUUGACAAGAUGAGAUUGAAGAAGGCUAAAAGGGAGAAGAUGAAGAAAAGGGAGCAGGCGCUGGUUGUCACGGCCCUGUCUAUCCAGGGUCGUCCAUCAAACGAAAAUGAAGGGAGUAGCCGGGAGGGCUCCAUCCGGAACCAGCAGGACUCUGACAGCGAGGACAGUGAUCUGGAGAGCUACUGGAACAGUGUACAAGAGGAUAUGAUGGAAUUCAAGCUGUCGUAUGAGCUGUGGCGGGUUGGCCACUGGGCUGUCAGCGUCCCUUGUGUGGAGAGGGAAAACGAGGAACUGUAUUUUACAGUUCACCUGGAGGAGAGGGACAACCCUGAAAAUCUUCACUGGAACGUGAGGAAGACCCAAACAGACAUCAUCCACUUCCGCAACCUAUGGCAGGACUCUGCUACUUUACCCUCCCUAUACGUGUUAGAGGAGAGCACUGAGGUGAACAUCAAUGAGGAUUUUAAAGAAGCCAGGAAGUCCAUCAAGCUCUUCUUACAGGAGCUGGUGUCUGAUGUUCUAGUGGGCCACACUCAGCCAGUAUUUCAGUUUCUGUGUCCUCUGGAAAAGCUGCUGGUUGAAGAGGAUCAUGUGUGGUGCCUCUUCAGUGGCCUGGCCAACUUCCUGACUCCGGGCCAAGAGGAAGAUGAGGACAAGCACAACAGCCUUGGAAGAGGGACCAAACCAGAUGAUUCCAACACAACGGAGGCUGCAGAACCAACUGCAACUGAGAACCUGGAUGGCGAUACAAGGGAUGACCUGGCCCGGGGCCCAUGUAUCAUCAUCUCCCAAUGUGAUGAGGAUUCUCCUUCAGAACCCAGUUCCAUUGAGUGCUGCAGAGAUGACGAGACUGAACCAAUAGAGAAAUCUGACAUUUUGGUUAAUGCAGACAAAACCGAGGAAUCUGAGAAACCCAUAACUUCCCACCUAAAGAUGGCAAUCAAAGGGCUAUCUAGAUCAGAGGAGUGUCUGGCCCAAACGAAAUCAGACACCCCUGAAAACCAGACUGACUCUUUCUGUAGACUGCGACGUUCCAGUGAAAAUGGAAGCUCGCAAUUUGACCUCGCUGACAGUCCAUCACAUCCUUUCGGUGGAAAGUUGAAUAAAAAGGAGAAACUCACUUUCAAAAUGUCAGGAGGUAUCCCCAGGAGUAAAGGAAAUGAAAUGGGGAGUCAGACAAAAUUAGAAGACUCACCGUGUUUGAAAAAGGAACAAUCCAGCUGGGAGCAAAUGGAAGCAACCAAAGCCCUUUUUGAUUUGUUGAAAGCAAUAUCUGGCAAUUCCAUCCUUCUGAACAUAUUUGAUGCGAUUCUGAAACCCGUCAUGCCGAUAUUGAAAAAGAAAGUGAACCGCUUCUUGAAUAAUAUGAACCCAACGGAAGCACAGAUUGCCUCCUAUAUCGACAACCUGCGUGAGAAACAGUGGCCCGAGGGCUUGCCGGAGAUGACUUGCCCCAUACCCCAUCGCAGCAGUGAGGAGAAGCAUGAGACCAAAGACAGAGCUCACCACCUCAUCAAUGCCAGAUAUUCAAACUAUUUAAUCUUGAAGAAGACAGAUAUGGAGACAGCGUUUAAGCUCUUCCAGGACUGUGAAGAAAACAAGAAGCUGAUCUAUAUGCUGCUUUCAUUCCUGUUGAGACAGCUUCUGCCAGGUGAGGAUGCCCUUAAUGUGAGUGCCAUAACCCUGCAGAAAGUGAAUGUCAACUAACUCAUUUUUCGAUGUUCUCUGCUGAAUCAUGCUUUUUAAUGAUCUUUUGUUCUGUGAACUGUUGUUCUGAUGUUUUUGAAAAUGUUAAUAUUUAUUUGAUUGGUUGUAGGCCUUACAACAAUCCCAUUUAGUAGCAUUUAAUCCAUAUGUCUACACUUGAUUGGAGUAUUAUAAUAAAUACAUCUUAUGAUACAUUUCCAGGAAAAUCUAUUUUACCUCAUGCGUUAAACAUUCUGUGAAUCAUGCCUAUUAUUUAAAAUGUAUCAUAUGUUGACUAUGAAAUAAGUUGAUCUUGAUUAUGUAUUUAGCAACAUGGGCAAAUUUAACGUGUGUUUAUUCAAGUUCAAAUGUCCUUUACCCGUGUAGAAAAUGUAAAUAUUUGCUAUCGAGAUGGUAACAACUCAGAGGGACCAUAAAUGCACUUCUAUUUCGAUGGGUUGAAGGAAAAACUUUACUGGUAGGAACAAAAGAGCACUGUGAAUUACAUUUUAAAGUUUUGUCCAAAACGUUUAUGAUCACGAUCAGAGUUGAUGGGGAGAUGUGUUAAAUGAUCAGAAGCAUUUGACUGAAGUUGUUCAUAUUGUAUUUGGUUUGGAGAAUAGCCAGUAAUUACACAUGCCUUUAUCUGUGCUUUAGGUUUUAUCAUGACUUGCGAAGCAACUGAAUGUGACGAUGUUGGUGUUGAUGUGCCUUCUUAAUAAAGUCAUUUAGGUUUUUCUUGCUUUUUUUGACAUAUGCCUGUUAUGCUUUCAUUUUUUUUUAUUUAACUAGGCAAGUCAGUUAACAAAUUCUUAUUUACAAUGAUGGCCUAGGAACAGUGGGUUAACUGCCUUGUUCAGGGGCAGACGACAGAUUUUUACCUUGUCAGCUCAGUGAUUCGAUCUAGCAACCUUUCGGUUACUGGCCCAACGCUCUAAACACUAGGCUACCUGCUGCCCCUUUAGAUUGUGUGGUAAGUAUUUUCUGUCUUCUGAAUAUGGAUUCAUCCUAAUCCAAUGGGAUUACUGAAUUUUAACUGUCUUUCCCCAUGUUGAUCAUUAUUAAAGUUCACAGACAAAACAAUUUGAUAAUUAAAGUGGCAAUAUGUAACUUUUUGGGUGACCUGACUAAAUUUACAUAAAUGUGAGCUAUAGAUUUAUCAUUCUACUUGAAAGUGAAACGAUUUCGGCAUAGUGCAGUUUUAAGAGAUUAAUUUGGAUUUUGUAGCUAUGCUUAAAGAUACCCAAGAUAAUAGAUGCUGGUGGGAGGAGCUAUAACACAGACUGAUUGUAAUGGCUGAAAUGGAAUUCUUGGAACUGAGUCAAAUGUGGUUUCCAUAUGUUUGUUUUUGAUAACUUUCUAAUUAUUCCAUUCCAGCAAUUACAAUGAGCCUAUUCUCCUAUCAAAUUGUAUUAGUCACAUACACGUGUUUAGCAAAUGUUGUUGGGGAUGUAGCGAAAUGCUUGUGUUUCUAGCCUCAACAGGGCAGUAAUAUCUAUAACUAUGUCCUAUAGUUUUUUGAAUGAGAAGGUAUAUGAAAAUACUUAUAUAUUCUUGAUUUGAUAGCACGUAUUGUUGAGCACAGUGAUCUUGCUCAGCUCAAAGUAACACGUUUAGUGUUCCUCUGCUCUGCUGAAUGCUCUUGCCUGCAAUGCUAUCCUUCAGUUUCCCUCCAACACAUUGGGUGGCAGCAUUGUUGGUGUUUCAGGUUAAUUCAAAAUGGCUGCGCCCUGAGCAUUAGGUAAAGUGUGAAGGUGUCUGCUUUGGGCAUUGAAUAACGGAAAG